GAUGAACGCUGGCGGCGUGCCUAAUACAUGCAAGUCGAGCGAACGGACGAGAAGCUUGCUUCUCUGAUGUUAGCGGCGGACGGGUGAGUAACACGUGGAUAACCUACCUAUAAGACUGGGAUAACUUCGGGAAACCGUAGCUAAUACCGGAUAAUAUUUUUAAACGCAUGGUUCAAAAGUGAAAGACGGUCUUGCUGUCCCUUAUAGAUAGAUCCGCGCUGCAUUAGCUAGUUGGUAAGGUAACGGCUUACCAAGGCAACGAUGCAUAGCCGACCUGAGAGGGUGAUCGGCCACACUGGAACUGAGACACGGUCCAGACUCCUACGGGAGGCAGCAGUAGGGAAUCUUCCGCAAUGGGCGAAAGCCUGACGGAGCAACGCCGCGUGAGUGAUGAAGGUCUUCGGAUCGUAAAACUCUGUUAUUAGGGAAGAACAUAUGUGUAAGUAACUGUGCACAUCUUGACGGUACCUAAUCAGAAAGCCACGGCUAACUACGUG
rnacentral:rRNA from 1 species